GUGUCAGCAGCCGCGGUAAGACGAGGGGUCCUAGCGUUGUUCGGAAUUACUGGGCGUAAAGCGUAUGUAGGCGGCUUUUUAAGUCGGGUGUGAAAUCCCAUGGCUCAACCAUGGAAUUGCAUUCGAAACUGGAGAGCUUGAGUGUGGGAGAGAUUGGUAGAAUACCUGGUGUAGUGGUGAAAUACGUAGAUAUCAGGUGGAAUACCGGUGGCGAAGGCGGCCAAUUGGCCCAACACUGACGCUGAGAUACGAAAGCGUGGGGAUCAAACAGGAUUAGAUACCCUGGUAGUCC
rnacentral:rRNA from 1 species